ensembl:lncRNA novel transcript
AAAUAUAAAGUAGGUUCUGAGUUUUUAAUUUCUCGCUGAAAUAAAAACGUUUUGCUUCUUCCUCUGACCUACUUAGACUUUACCAAGCAGACGCUGCUGGAAAAACAAGAACUUUCCUUGUCUGCUGUUAAGAUGCCAGAAAAAUGAUGAAAAGAGCACAGUACCGAAAAUAAGAAGAGAGUAAAACCAUAAUAAGAAAGACAAGGUGCUGGAGGGUGCACGGUGAUUAGGAACUGGCAUGGAUCCCCAGUGCAGCACAACUGCUUCACAGAAAAGUGUCUGUGUGUCUGGAGUUGGUUCCUUCCCAUGGGUUCAUUCGUGGUCUCGCUGACUUCAAGAAUGGAGCCGUGGACCUUCGCAGUGAGUGUUAUAGCUCUUAAAGAUGGCAUGGACCCAAAGAGUGAGCAGCAGCAAGAUUUAUUGUGAAGAGUGAAAGGACAAAGCUUCCACAGCAUGGAAGGGGACCUGAGUGGGUGCCGCUGCUGGCUGGGGUGGCCAGCUUGUAUUCCCUUAUUUGUCCCCGCCCUUGUCCUGCUGAUUGGUCCAUUUUACAGAGUGCUGAUUGGUCUAUUUUACAAACCUCUAGCUAGCUACAGAGCGCUGAUUGGUGUAUUUUACAAUCCUAACUACAGAAUGCAGAUUGGUGCAUUUUACAAUCCUCUUGUAAGACAGAAAAGUUCUUCAAAUCCCCACUUGACCCAGGAAGUCCAGCUGGCUUCACCUCUCAUCUGGACUGUUCUUCACUUGGUCCCUGUCCCUGCUUCUCCUCACUGGGCAGGGCCUCCUGACCUGGGACUCCCGCAUAACUACUCUGCCCUGCCUGGGCACUUCAGUCAGCAGCAGCUCUGCAUUUGUCUAAGGAGGAAAUCCUGGAGUCAACCCACAACCCCUCCACCAUUGCACCUGUAGUGGUACCACCCUAACCACCCUCAGGCUAAGGAAGGAACAAAGGGCUUAGUUCCUGUGCUAGCACCUCCUGCACUGUGUAGCCCCCAUACAGAGUCCUGUCUCUCUUCUCUGUGAACCCCCACCCUCAACUCUUCACCAGGUAGGGCCCCUGGGUCAGGACUGCAGAUCAGUCGCCCCAACCACAGCUAAGGAUGCCCACUGGGAGUGGCUCUGAGUUUCCCAGAGGAGGGGCUCCCAGAGGGAACCAACACCCCUCUGCCAUAGCAAUGGUUCUGCCUCUGCUGCCCUCCAUCUGGGGAAGAAACAAAGAGCCUGAGGGCUUCACCUGCACUUUCAGCACACCACAGUCACCAUCGGAAGAAAAGCCCAGUCUCUCCUCCCUGUGAGCCUUCCACCCCCUCUUCACCAAGUGGAGUGCCCAACUCAUGCCAGCAGUGCAGCCAACCCACCCCCUGGCUGAAUACUCCCAUUGGCAGUGGUUCUGCUUCUCUGAGGUAGAAUUCCCAGAGAUAACUGAAAGGCCCUUUGCCACUGCCGCUGCUGUGGUACUUCUCUUGCUUCCCUCAGACUAAGGAAGGAGCAGAGACCCUGAGUGCUUCAACCACACCUUUGGUAAGCUGAAGUUGCCCUAAGGAGAAGAGGCCAGUCUGUAUCCCUCCAGGACCCACCUGCUCUCCCUGCUCAUCACUACCAGGGCCUCCCCUUGCCCUUGGGUCCAAAGUGUGGUGGCCCCAUCCUGGGCUGAUCACACCGAUUGAUAGUGGCUCCACAUCAGAAAGAGGUGUGAGCCUCUUGUCAAAAGACAAGUGAAAGACACUCUGCCACAGCCACUGCUAAGGUCCCUUCACCUGCUGCCUCCAAGCUUGAGAGGGUACAGAAAGUUUGAACUCACCCCAGAAUUGUAAUGUGCAGCCCAGGAGUGCCAAGCCGAGAUAUGCAGCCAGCACUCAAGUGGGAGAGGAGACCACCCAUUCACAGCACUGAGAGGGAGCCCAGCUGCAAUCCUGAGGAAAUACAGAGAAAUCAUGUGGCUAAGCAAGAGCCUACCUACCAGCCAUUACACUUAAGCACCACCUAUUGGAUGACAGUCCAAAACUUCAACACCAAUAACACUUAGCUAAUAUACCCUCUUGUGAAACCAGUGACAAGAAUUCAGCUACAAAUAAAGACCCUGCACAAAGACUUGGGCCUCUGAAAACAUCCAGAAAAGAAGUCAAUUGGCUGUACUCAAUAUACAUUGCAGUUAAAGGAACACCAGUGCACACAGUUGAGAAAGAACCAGUGUAAGAACUCUGGCAACUCAAAAAGCCAGAGUGUCUUCUUUCCUCCAAAUGAAUGCACUAGUUCUCCAGCAAGCAUUCUUAACUAGGCUUGCUGAUGGAAAUGAUGGAAAUAGAAUUCAGAAUAUGAAUAGGAAGAAAGAUCAUUGAGAUUCAGGAAAAAGUAAAAACCCAAUCCAAGAAAUGUAAGGAUUAUAAUAAAAUGAUACAGGAACUGAUAGGUGAAAUGGCCAUUAUAAAAAAGAACCAAAUUGAUCAGAUAGAGCUGAAAAACACAUGACAAGAAUUUCAUAAUGCAAUCACAAUUAUUAACAGAAGACUAGACCAAGCUGAGAAAAGCAUCUCAGUGCUUGAAGACCAGCUCUCU